GCGAGGGUGGCGAAAUUGGUAGACGCACCUGGUUUAGGUCCAGACGCCAGUAAUGGCGUAGGGGUUCAAGUCCCCUCCCUCGCACCA
rnacentral:tRNA from 1 species